UACGUAGGGGCCUAGCGUUGUCCGGAUUUAUUGGGCGUAAAGAGCUCGUAGGCGGUUCGGCAAGUCGGAUGUGAAAUCUCCACGCUUAACGUGGAGGGGCCAUUCGAAACUGCCGUGACUCGAGUCCGGUAGGGGAGUGUGGAAUUCCCGGUGUAGCGGUGAAAUGCGCAGAUAUCGGGAGGAACACCAAUGGCGAAGGCAGCUCGCUGGGACGGUACUGACGCUGAGGCGCGAAAGCGUGGGAGCAAACAGG
rnacentral:rRNA from 1 species